rnacentral:rRNA from 1 species
CGGGUGAGUAACACGUAGGUAAUCUACCCUAAAGUUUGGAAUAACCUGCCGAAAGGCGGGCUAAUACUGGAUAGAGCGACGAAACUCGUAAUUGGGUUUUUCGGGAAAGGGAGCUCGCAAGAGCCCUCGCUUUAGGAUGAGCCUGCGUCUCAUUAGCUAGUUGGUGGGGUAAUGGCCCACCAAGGCUUUGAUGGGUAGCUGGUCUGAGAGGAUGAUCAGCCACACUGGAACUGAAACACGGUCCAGACUCCUACGGGAGGCAGCAGUGGGGAAUCUUGCGCAAUGACGAAAGUCUGACGCAGCCACGCCGCGUGAGUGAAGAAGGCCUUCGGGUUGUAAAGCUCUGUCGAGCGGGACGAACAAUUUAUGGGUUAACAGCCCAUGAAUCUGACGGUACCGCUAAAGGAAGCACCGGCUAACUCCGUGCCAGCAGCCGCGGUAA